rnacentral:rRNA from 1 species
GACGUGGGGUGCAAGCGUUGUCCGGAUUUAUUGGGCGUAAAGAGCUCGUAGGCGGCUUGUCGCGUCGACCGUGAAAACUUGGGGCUCAACCCCAAGCCUGCGGUCGAUACGGGCAGGCUAGAGUUCGGUAGGGGAGACUGGAAUUCCUGGUGUAGCGGUGAAAUGCGCAGAUAUCAGGAGGAACACCGAUGGCGAAGGCAGGUCUCUGGGCCACUACUGACGCUGAGAAGCGAAAGCAUGGGGAGCGAACAGG